rnacentral:rRNA from 1 species
GCUUGCGGCGUGCUUAACACAUGCAAGUCGAACGGAAAGGCCCUGCUUUUGUGGGGUGCUCGAGUGGCGAACGGGUGAGUAACACGUGAGUAACCUGCCCUUGACUUUGGGAUAACUUCAGGAAACUGGGGCUAAUACCGGAUAGGAGCUCCUGCUGCAUGGUGGGGGUUGGAAAGUUUCGGCGGUUGGGGAUGGACUCGCGGCUUAUCAGCUUGUUGGUGGGGUAGUGGCUUACCAAGGCUUUGACGGGUAGCCGGCCUGAGAGGGUGACCGGCCACAUUGGGACUGAGAUACGGCCCAGACUCCUACGGGAGGCAGCAGUGGGGAAUAUUGCACAAUGGGCGGAAGCCUGAUGCAGCAACGCCGCGUGCGGGAUGACGGCCUUCGGGUUGUAAACCGCUUUCGCCUGUGACGAAGCGUGAGUGACGGUAAUGGGUAAAGAAGCACCGGCUAACUACGUGCCAGCAGCCGCGGUGAUACGUAGGGUGCGAGCGUUGUCCGGAUUUAUUGGGCGUAAAGGGCUCGUAGGUGGUUGAUCGCGUCGGAAGUGUAAUCUUGGGGCUUAACCCUGAGCGUGCUUUCGAUACGGGUUGACUUGAGGAAGGUAGGGGAGAAUGGAAUUCCUGGUGGAGCGGUGGAAUGCGCAGAUAUCAGGAGGAACACCAGUGGCGAAGGCGGUUCUCUGGGCCUUUCCUGACGCUGAGGAGCGAAAGCGUGGGGAGCGAACAGGCUUAGAUACCCUGGUAGUCCACGCUGUAAACGGUGGGUACUAGGUGUGGGGUCCAUUCCACGGGUUCCGUGCCGUAGCUAACGCUUUAAGUACCCCGCCUGGGGAGUACGGCCGCAAGGCUAAAACUCAAAGGAAUUGACGGGGCCCCGCACAAGCGGCGGGGCAUGCGGAUUAAUUCGAUGCAACGCGUAGAACCUUACCUGGGUUUGACAUGGAUCGGGAGUGCUCAGAGAUGGGUGUGCCUCUUUUGGGGUCGGUUCACAGGUGGUGCAUGGCUGUCGUCAGCUCGUGUCGUGAGAUGUUGGGUUAAGUCCCGCAACGAGCGCAACCCUUGUUCACUGUUGCCAGCACGUUAUGGUGGGGACUCAGUGGAGACCGCCGGGGUCAACUCGGAGGAAGGUGGGGAUGACGUCAAGUCAUCAUGCCCCUUAUGUCCAGGGCUUCACGCAUGCUACAAUGGCUGGUACAGAGAGUGGCGAGCCUGUGAGGGUGAGCGAAUCUCGGAAAGCCGGUCUCAGUUCGGAUUGGGGUCUGCAACUCGACCUCAUGAAGUCGGAGUCGCUAGUAAUCGCAGAUCAGCAACGCUGCGGUGAAUACGUUCCCGGGGCUUGUACACACCGCCCGUCAAGUCAUGAAAGUUGGUAACACCCGAAGCCGGUGGCCUAACCGUUGUGGGGGAGCCGUCGAAGGUGGGACUGGUGAUUAG